GAUGAACGCUAGCGACAGGCCUAACACAUGCAAGUCGAGGGGUAACAUUAUUAAAGCUUGCUUUAAUAGAUGACAACCGGCGCACGGGUGCGUAACGCGUAUGCAACCUACCCAUUACAGGAGGAUAGCCCAGAGAAAUUUGGAUUAAUACUCCAUAGUAUUUACUGAAAGCAUUUUUAGUAUUUUAAAAGAUUCGUCUGGUAAUGGAUGGGCAUGCGUAUGAUUAGUUAGUUGGUAGGGUAACGGCCUACCAAGACGACGAUCAUUAGGGGUUCUGAGAGGAUAGUCCCCCACACUGGUACUGAGACACGGACCAGACUCCUACGGGAGGCAGCAGUGAGGAAUAUUGGUCAAUGGGCGAGAGCCUGAACCAGCCAAGUCGCGUGCAGGACGACUGCCCUAUGGGUUGUAAACUGCUUUUAUAUAGGAAUAAUUGUUUCUACGUGUAGGAAUUUGAAUGUACUAUAUGAAUAAGCACCGGCUAACUCCGUGCCAGCAGCCGCGGUAAUACGGAGGGUGCAAGCGUUAUCCGGAUUUAUUGGGUUUAAAGGGUGCGUAGGCGGGUUCAUAAGUCAGUGGUGAAAGUCUGUCGCUUAACGAUAGAAUUGCCAUUGAAACUGUGGAUCUUGAAUACAGUAGAGGUAGGCGGAAUAUAUUGUGUAGCGGUGAAAUGCAUAGAUACGAUAUAGAACACCUAUUGCGAAGGCAGCUUACUAUGCUGUAAUUGACGCUGAUGCACGAAAGCGUGGGGAGCGAACAGG
rnacentral:rRNA from 1 species